GCCCAACUGGUACCAUCUUCCGUGUCUGAUCCAGAAAGGACACCGACUCUCUGACAGGCCCAUUAACAAUCCCAGGUGUAAAUUUUAGUUGCUUUGGCGCUGGAAGUGACAUUGGGGACAAGGGACCACUGAUAUCAUCCGAAUAGUGCUUAGAUGAACCGAGUGAAUUACCCCAAGUUGAUGUGGCUAAGGCAAUGGCAACAGUUUGCUCCCUCAUCUUCUGCUCCUUUACUAGUUCUUUCCUCUGGGCCUCACUUUGUUGCAGUAGAGUUACAAGUUCAUUCAGUUGGUCUUUCAGGUCCUUGAUUUCCAUAUCUU
rnacentral:misc_RNA from 1 species